rnacentral:lncRNA from 1 species
CUGAAACAAGGAUAAUCAUGGCCAACUGCAUUAGAGCCCUCUGCAACUCCGAUGUUAAAGAAGGCUUUGUAUUUGGCAAGGAUGUAUCUCUUCCGGAGACAUACGUGCUCUCACCUCAGAACCCUCUUAGGGCGAUUGGCGGAAAACCUGCUUCACAGAGAUCGAUCCUGGCUUUCUUUGCUGGAAGAAUGCAUGGCUAUCUACGCCCCAUUCUAUUACACCACUGGGAAAAUAAAGAUCCUGACAUGAAAAUAUUUGGUCAAAUGCCCAUGGUUAAGGGCAAGGGCAAGGGCAAGGGCAAGGGCAAGCGGAAGGGCAAAAUGGAUUACAUCCAGCAUAUGAAGAGCAGUAAAUAUUGUAUCUGUGCAAAAGGUUAUGAAGUCAAUAGUCCCCGAGUAGUGGAGGCCAUUUUCUAUGAAUGCAUUCCAGUAAUCAUAUCCGACAAUUUUGUGCCUCCAUUUUUCGAGAUACUGAACUGGGAAUCCUUUGCUGUUUUUGUCUUGGAGAAGGAUAUUCCAAAUUUGAAGAACAUACUCCUUUCCAUCUCAGAGAAGAGAUACCGUAGAAUGCAGAUGAGGGUCAAAAAGGUACAACAGCAUUUUCUUUGGCAUCCUCAGCCUGUUAAAUAUGAUAUCUUUCAUAUGAUACUCCAUUCAAUUUGGUAUAAUAGAGUUUUCCUAGCAAGGGCCAGGUAACGACAAUAAGUUGCAAGUUAAACAAAUUUUGUAUAUUUGGAGGUAUUUUGAAAGAAGCCUUAGUUGGGGAAGUGAAAGAAGAUGAAAUGAAUGGAUUAAUAUUAGGAAAUUUUGUUGUAAUAAUAGUUGCUACAGAUAUUUGUUGUAUAUGGAUUGAAUGAAAGAAUGAGUUAUUUUUGCUGUAUGCAUAUGCCUUUCAGUUCGUGUCUUGUUAAAAGCCUAUAAUUUUGAAGUUAUUAAAUUCUUGUGGCUAAUUUUUUAUUCGAUUCAUGUGGUGAACGUGACUUGUGUCCGACUCUUUUAAAUUCCAUAGCUUUUCUCUUUCUUUUUUUUCCAAGGAAGAAAAAAAAAAAAAAAACAGUCAUGGGUUUGAACUCCUAACGAAAUUAUUUGAACAGUUGCGUUUGAUAUUGAAGUUAGACAGCUGUAACUUUUAAGAUACAACACUAAAAUGUUUAAUAAAUACUAACUGUUGUAGCUUGAAAGCUAUGUUAAUAUGAUUUUUUUAUUUUUAUAAUAAAAAAAUAUUAUAUCUUUAAUAAUUUUGUCAAAAUUAUUAUUUAAAAUUUAUAUUUACUUUAUAUUAUUAAUUUCAAAGUUAUACUUUUUUUUUUCACAGCAGCUGUAUCUUAAAAGAUACAGCACCUCAAUCCCGAAUAGAACCUCAGUUUAUUAAUUUUUGUAGGGGCGCUUUUUGUGACUACUGAUGUGAAUAUGUAGUAGCUUUUAAUCGUUUAAGGGAAGAACAAUUGCAAAAAGAUAUAUAAAUAAGAAAGAAAACUAUAGAAAAAUAAGUUAAAAUGGGGUGUGGCUGUUUAGUACCUUUAUUUUGAGUUAAUUAUUUGUUUAAUCAUUAUAUUUUAAAAAAUAUUUAAAAACACACUUAUUAUUAAAUAUAUGAUAUUCUUUUUUUUUAAUAAUAAUUCCCUUACAAUUGACAUUAAGAAAAAAUGAUAACAUCAAAUUUGAAGUAAAUCUUUUGAUUAUUAUUUAACACCAAAAAUAAAAUAAGAAGUAAAGUAAAUUUUUUAAUUAUUAUUUUAAUUUUAGGGUUAAUUUAGUAACUUAAAUUUUUAUAGAUAGUUAUUAGCAAGACAGCAAAUUAUUAAAUGUAGCUUUAAGUUGACUGGUACGAAUUUAUUUAUAAAUAAUAAUUAGAAAGAUUAUUGCAGGGAUAUGAAAAAUACUAAUCCUUUUAGAUUAACUAUUAUUAGUCAAUUUGCUUAUUAUUUUUUUAAUGGAUAAAUUAAUUAAUGCUCUCAAGAUUGAAGCAAAGGUAUUAUUAGUGUAACAAUAAAGAAAAAGUAAGGGUAGCAUAUCACAUGUUUUACUAAAAAAGGUGUCCUGAUAUAUUUUUUAAAAUAUAGAAACUAAAUUAAUAUUUAAUUUAAAAUAUAGAAAUUGAACGAGCAUUUACUCAUCAAAGUGUAUAUAUAUAUGAUGAAGGGACUACGCUCAAAAGAGUAUAAUGUGGGAGCCGAGGGACUUUUCAUAACAAAAGGCUAUUCUAAUUACUAUUUCUCUUUGUAUCCUCUCUCCAAUGUAUGUUGUCUUUGCUUUAAUAGUCCUAAAAGUUAUAGAUUUUUUUUUUUAAUUUAAAAACAAAAAGAUGGUUGGGAAAUAAGGGAAAUCCUUAUCUAUAAUAUAAAUCAGAAAAUGAAGCAAAUAGGAUAUAAAUCAAAACCACCUAAAAUAAGAAAAUUGAUAACGAAUUAAGGACGUUUUUGGAAUUAAAAGGGUUUGUACAGUAAAACUAUAAUUUUAUAAUGGAUUACUAAAAAAUUAAGUGUAGCGAGUGAAAUAGUCCCGCCCAUCUUUUCCACAUUUUUCACUCAAAGUUACGUGAAAAUCAGUGCAGGAGAAAUACAAUGUUAAAAUAAACAAGAAGAGGAAGCAAGCCCUUAUCACGUGAAAGAUCAUAAUAAGCGGCUAAGCUCUCUCUUUCAACCGUCAGAUUAUACGCUUCCUUAAAAAGGUUACAAUCAUCUUCCUUAAAAUAUCAGUGUAAAAUUUACAAGUGAUAUGAUGCUCGACACAGGUAAGAGGCCAUAACCCUUAAGGUAUUUGCACUCGAAAGAAAUUACCACACCUGAAUUAUAACUGAGGUUGUGGUAUUUGGAUUGAUAGUCAAAAUGCAUAUGCUCUGCAAAGUCCGCUUCAGUAUCAUCUCGUACUCUUUUUCCUGUUUCCCUGAUAUAAAUGGGCAAUUUUGCAAGUUUAGCUAGCAAAAGUUUCAUACAAAGCCAUAGCUUGGACCAAACAAUACAAUAAUGUAGAAUUCAUAUAGUCUCAUCAGUGGGAAAUACUUAAAAAGGAAAAAUGAAAAGAAGAUUACCAAUCUGUCCAGUUUUAGAUUUCCAAAUGACUUCAAUGCUAGCCUUCUCAGGAUUUUCAUUCUUCUUUCAGUUCCAGCUUUGGUUCCGUAAACAUCAGCCAGCAUGCACUUUCGUGUCUCCUGAACCAAACCCAAUAACAAAAAUAGCAUUUUGAAGUGAAAACAAAUAAAUUAAAAAGGUAAAAAUGAGAGGUCUGAAUGAAGCGGAAGCCUUGAGACCAACUGGCAGAGCCAUGUGCACGGUGAAGGAUGCUGCAAGAGCAAGCAAGUGGUCUCAAUUGAUUAGGGUUACGCCCAUCAGCCCUAUCGAUCUCCAUUUCUAUUUCUCUUACCCAAUGCACAGUGUUUAAAUAAAUAAUCAAAUAAUUGGUGCAACUAGGUGCCCUUAGGUACCGUACUCCACAAUUCUGUUAGUUUUAGAUGAUUAAAAAAAAUCAAUAUAUUUUGAUUAUUUGACGGUAACUCAUAUUAUGGGGGUACCGUUGUCACAAUCUAUAUAAUGACGUGCUUGUAAUAAUGAAGGGAUUUGUUAAUUAAUAUAUAAAUACAAUGUAAUUUGCAUGUAGCAUUAUUGAUCCUUAGAUUACGAGAACAAAGCCAUCAAAAGCUUUGUAUCAUGAUUUUUUAUUUACCACGCACGAUGUCUUUUUCAUUAUUGGGAUGCGUGAUGAUACGUCUUUCUUGUAUCCUUUCGAAAAAAGAAAAAUAAAAAAAAGAAAGAAACAUUUCAAUGAAAGUCGUAGUAGUAGAAGCUACAAAAAUAGAACCAGCCAUAACCUCACUCUAUAGGCUUGGCCAAAAUGUCAUCGUCCGACCAGGCAUGAGAGUUUAGACAUAAGCCAAAAAUAUUUUAAAUCUGCUAUGAGGAGGUUUGGACAAAAGGCUUAAAGAAAAAAAAUUUCUACCCAGGUCCGACCUUCAAUAUAUUUUUAAAUAAUUGAAUUUAAAUUUAUAAAUUAAAAUAAUAAAUCAAUUUACAAUCAUUUCAGAUUUUCUUAUCAAAUUUAAUUAUUUAAAAGUCAAUUAAUUUAAAGUCUUCAGGCUUUAGGUAGUUUAUUUAUUUAUUAUUAUUAUUAUGACGACGACGUCGACGUCGACGUCGACGACAACUUUGAUGAUAAUUAUGUAGGAGGCAUCAUUAAUUAAUUAAAAGGAUGAUUGAACUAAAAUCACUUCUAAGAAAUUAAAUCGAUAAGCUUUUAUUUUUUUAUUUAUUAUUUUAUUUUAAGACAAUUUUUUUUAAUUUGUUGUUGAUUAUUCCUUGUUACAGAUUUAUAACAAUUUAAAAAAAAUAUUUUAAAAAAAUAUUGAAGUCUACACUCCGAAUGGGCACGGUCUAGGCUUAGCCCUCCAAACUUAAAUGAGCUUCUAGAGGGCUUGGAUCUAUUUCCUCUAACACGGACUUAAGUUUAGGCUUAAAAAAGUCCAGCUUGACCCAUCAAUUUAUCGCUAAUAUUACUAUCACAUAUACACCAAAAAAAAAUAAUAAUAAUAAAUGCAAAGAAACAGAUCACACACUCUUUGUAAGAUCCAGUAUAUAUACGGUAUGUUAAUAUCCACUCUCGUUGCCGAUAAAUUCUACAAUACAUUAGAGAUAAUAUAAUCAAUUGAUAUAUGUAUAAUAUAUGUAAUUAAAUUUAAUGUAACCGCCAAUUGUAUUAUGAUCUUUCAAAAUAAAUACACAUAAGUUGUAAUAUCAUUUACUUAUUAUAUGACUUAAAUAGUACAUUGAUGUAUUGUAGAAUUUCUUUUUUAUGCCGGCAACAACAUUCUGCAACUACAUGCAUACAUAAAUAUUUUAUAUUUUGUAGUCAAUUAUCAAGUGCAACCAUAUUGGAAAAUCACCAUAAGUAUCUAAUGCUUUCAUCUCAAGAUUAUGAUUAAAAAAAAAAAAGAUAAGUGAACUAUAUUUUUAUAGAUUGGUCACCCAAAAAAAAAAAAGCUAUUUUAACCCAAAAAUAAUUUUCCUUUCAAAAUAAAAACAAUUUAUUAUUUAAUGCCAAUUUAGUUGAAAACUUAAUGAGACCCGGUGGUUGUGGUUGAAUUUGCAUGCUGCGGGACUCCGAUCCGAAUGCAUAAGAAAAAGGGCGUAAUUAAAACAAAAUUUACAUAUAUAGUAAAUGCAUUAUUAAUGAGUUCAGCCACGGCCCACGGCUUCAGUAGCAUCAUCGGUCAUUUGAUUGAUCUACGAGAAGAAUAAAGCUAUUAAAUAGCUUUGCGCAUCGUCAUUUUGAUGGCAAAGCUUACAUUACAUUGCCUGUACGUCACAGCUAAAAGUUUUUAAUAUCUUUAGAAAAGUUGAUAAUUAUAAAAAUGUCAAUAAAUUUUAAAUAUGUAUUAUAAACUCUAGGCUGGCUGCCUGUAAAAAUCUGCUAAAAUUUUUCGGGAGGGACAUUAGCCACCCUUUAGUCAACAUCAAUGGCAAAACCCAUGCCCCCUCAAGUCUUUAUUAUUUUGGACAGUACCUGAAAUUCUAUCGACAUUUGCCUCAUAGGUUAAUUUGUGCCUCUUCUUCUUCUUCUUCUUUUAUCACGUUCUUGAUUGGUUUUUCAUUUGGCAUCAAAGAUUUGAUUUUGAUCGUAUUUGGUCUCAUCAAACCAACUCAUGGCUAUUAAAGAUAUUAAACAUUUUUUUACAAACCUAAAAAAAAAAAAAAGGCAAAGGCAAAGAGAACAUACCUUAAAUAAAAUGAAGUAUCUUGUAAAUUACAAAAGGUAAGAAACUACGUCAUCACCAAGUUCUAGUGAUUGUUCUAUUUACUUUGGAAACUUUUGCAGAUGCUGAAACCUCUCGACUUGUUGAAGUUUUCCUGUAUGCAAUCAAAUCUUUCAUUUAAAUUGCAUCGAUGGUUGGCUGGAAAUCAAUUUAACUUGCCCUCUUUGUCCUAAUUGUAUCUUAGAACUUUAAUUUUCUUAAAUUUUGCUAUUUAUAUUUUAUAGCAAAUUUAGUUCUAAGUUGCUCAAUAUUUUUUUCUAUUUUAUCUAAUUGAAUCUUUAACUUGAUUAAUCUUACAUUUAUUGAGUUUUUAUUAAUUAUAUUAAUGAUAUCUUUCUUUAAUAUAUCUUGAUCUUCAAUGUUGGAGUAUUUUGUUAAUUGUUUAACUUUAUAAAAUUCUUUACUCAUUGGAUCUCCUAACUCUUUAAUUUGUUUUAUAUUUUCUUCAUUGAAAUUAUUAAUGUCUAAUUUUUUGUUUGCACUUUCUAUAUCAUUUUAUAGAUAAAUUUGGGUUUCCUAAUUUAUUUAAUAGAUAUAGUGAAAUUUAAUUUAAUUGAUUAUUUCCUCACAUGUUUGAAUCAUUGAUCCGAUCAAAAAAUUGAAAUCUUUCAUAUAAAAAUUCUCUUUGCCUGUAACUAGAAUGUGGUAAGUUAUUGGUUUUUAUAUUUUGUGAAAUUAUUGGAGAUUCUGGUAAUUUAUUCAUUGUACCAUUUUUCUAAUAAUUCAUUAGAUUUAUAGGAUAUUUAUGAUAUAUAACAUCUCUUAUAAUUCAUAAUGCUAAAUUUAGAUUUCAAAAGCUAUGUGAAAGCAUUGAUGGUGUGUGUGUGUGUGUGUGUGUGUGUGUGUGUGUGUGUGUGUGUGUAUAUAUAUAUAUAUAUAUAUAUAAUUCAUGUCUUAAGAGAGACAAUAAAUUAUAAAUACAGGUACAAAUAUAUAUUCAUAAUUUGUAAAUCUUUAUGAACAUGAUAAGCAUUUAGGUCCUCAUAAAAAUAUAGUAAAAACUUUAAAAAAUUUUAAAAAUAAGUGUAGAAGAGAUGAUAGACAAAACUAUUUAGUUAUACAAAAUUAAUAAGGACUAAUUUGAAAAAAUAAGUAGAUAUGCGACUAAAAAUAAAUUUUGCUUUAAAUAAUUGUUGCACCCAUACCUUAUUUUAUGUUAAAGUUACUUUCAUCCAUUGGAUUUAAGAAAUAUAAAAAUCAAUGAUCCAUAUCUAUUGGAUGUUUGUUACAAUACUUGUAACAUAAGCUUUGCCCAUUUUGAUUUGCCCUAAUAGAAUAAAGCGAGAGCUCACGCUCUUUGUUUCGCGUGGGAUACAUGAUGAUCUUUUUAUUAAAUUAGACUUAAUUAUUGAAACAUGCAUUUUUUUAUGCUUAAGAAGAAUUUAAAUACCUUUUAAAUAUUCUUUUAUAAUACCAUUUAAAUAUUUGUAAUAAAAUCACUCUGAAGAUGCACACUACUUAAACUUAUGUCCACUUGAAUGGAAUAGAAAUAGUUUACCAUCGUGUUAUUGAAUUGUUUUUAUCUUUUUACUUUGUGAUGUGUUCUAACAUUAAUUUAACUCUUAAAUAUUUAGUAAGCUCACCACACACUUAAGUUUGGUAAUAUCUAACUUUGAGUAAUAAGAAAAAUUCAUGCAUUAUUGUUUGAAUGUCACAUCAUUUAUAAUAAAAUUUUAGAAUAAAAUAAUUUUAUUGAAUCUAAUAUUACGUACUCAAAUCAGUUUCAAUAUGUGCUUGCUUAUGUAGAAACAAUAAAAAAAUUAAAAAAAAUUAUUAGUCAUAUACUUUUAAAUUUUUGUGUUACAAAAAAAUAUUAUAACACUUUUAAGUUGUAUCAUUCAUCUACAAUAAAAUUUACAAAUUUUAUUAUUUAUCUACUACAUCAUUAGCUUCAACCUUCCAUUAAGAAAUUAACCAAUUGUAGUAAUUUAACGAUUUUGCGCUUGUUGUUAUAAAAAUACUAAAAAAUCUUAAAUUUCUUUACUUUUUUAGCUUAAGCUUGUAAUUCUUAUCAAUCACCGUUAGAAUAUUUUAACAAAAUUUAGGUAUAUCGGUCAUUUUACUCUUGAAUUUAAGGACCUUCUUUACUAUGCAUGAUAAAUAAUAAAAUAAAAUUAGGUUUUUUUUUUAAUAUGAAAUUAAAUUUAAGGUUUGAAUUGAUAAUGUGUUUAUGAAUUAGGGUUUAGAAUAAUUUGUGGGUUAAUUUUGAUUAUGUAAUUUUGAAGAUAAAUUGACAAGACAAAUUAGAUUUUUUUAAAAUUCAAAAUCGAGUUCUAAGUAUGUUUAAUUGAAUAAUAGUUAUAGAAAAAUAUUUUUAUUUUUAUAUUUUAAGUUAUUACUUUAUUUUGUAUUUAACAUAACAGAUGUCGGAAUUAUCCUUGGAACAUCAUUAAUUAUAAAAGUUAGUUAAUAUUUUGAUGAACGAUUGAUACAAAUUAAAAAAAUUUAAUAUUAAAGUUUGAACAAAUUCAAAUUUCUAUAAUAUUUCUAAUAACUGAGUAAACCUAAAGCUAAAGUGGAUAGUAGAUAAUUUCUAAAAAAAAAAAAACCUUAAAUACCAAAUAGACAUGGUAGAGAAUAUACACUCGCCGAGGUGCGCGUGAGUAACUUAGGAAUUUGACAUUUCAUAAUUGAUGAACUGGUGAACAAUAUAUUUAAGGAUUUUGCUAUGUUACAUUGAAUGUACCAUACACAAUUAAUAAGAACCACAUAAUUAUGUGGGUCUCAUAAUUUAUGUGGUUCUUAUUGGUUGUGUAUGGUACAUUCAAUGUAACAUAGAGGCUCCCUAUAUUUAAAUAAAAUAAUACAUCUUAGUCAAGCCCAAAAACAGUCACUAAACGCCAAACAGGCAAACAGAGCAGAAGUACGUGGACUGGAAGCUACCAAAUAGGAUUGAACGAGCUCCACUGCUCCAGUACUCUUCUUAAUUUUAAUAAUUAUAUUUCAUUAAAGAAAAUGACUAUUUGGUUGCUCAGAAUCUUUAAAACGACUAAAUAAGGGAAAGAAUCGUUUCCCUUUUAGUGGUUUCGUAUAUUUUCGUAGCAACCAACAACAAGAAGGCCCUUCACGUUAUUUCUUGGUAAUUUUUCAAUAGCAUUUAGAGUUGGUUGUUGGUUUCUGAAUUGCAUGUCUGUUUGAUUUUAAUUCAUUCUGCUGGAAAUUUGAUUACUGCAGUGCUUGUUUCAUGAUCACAUGAGAUCUUGCUUCUAUAAAUUUGCAUGCUAUUGAUGGUAGAAGAUCCUGCUUUUGGCUUUUUUUUCUUUUUCUUUUUUUGUUGUUUAUGUUUCUUGUUUGUUUGAGUGUUGUUAAUCAAUGCAGUUGCAUGUGAAACUUUGAGCAUAAAUAAUGAGUUAUGCUUUUAUUUAAAAUUGGAUUCAUAACACCAAGUGACUAGAAGGCAUUUUUGGCUGAAAUUGGAUUUUGGCUGUGCAGUGAUGAGAAUUUUGGUUGGAAGUCAACCGACAGUCCAAUUAUCUGAAUGGGUUAUGAAAUUCGAUCCUUGUGUCAAGGAGAAACGAAGAGAUUACUAUGGCCUAUGGGAAUCAUGCUUACAGUGAUUGUGGCGUUCCAAUAUUUUGAACUUCCCUAUGAUCAUGUUUUAUCAUCGGUAUUUUCUACUGGUAAGGUUCCAGCACCCGCAGUGGAAAACAAUAGCUUGGUGACCGGCGGUCCGGAAUCUAAGUCUGAGAUAGCCAGUGAUACUGCAAAUGGCUUGAAUUCUACUGGUACACAUAAUGUGCACGAGAUGGCUAAUGAUACUAGAACCUCCAAAGCAGAGGAUGCAAAUCUACAAGAUGAUUUUGAUGAUGGCGAAGAUAAUCAUAAGGAGCCUAUGACUGAGAAAUUGGAGGAGCUAAAUAAAAAUUCCACUGUGGAUACUGUCCAGAAUGCAGGUAAUGGGCCCGGACCAGAAAAGGGCAGACAAUCAGAACAGAGCUUUAUUCAAAGAAAUGAUUCAGGUGGGGCUGGUCUUUCACCUAUUCCUGUGUCCCCAGUGAUGGAUUUAUCAUCUAAUAUUACCCUACAAGGUGCAAAUAUUAGCACUCCUCCUAUUACAAUUGAUUCUAACACAUCUUCAAUGGACACGGAUGCAACACCCGCUUUAGACAAGAUCGAAAAACCAGCACAAAGUAGUUUGAACACAUUGGGGGAGAAUUCUUCCGGGGUCGAUGUUCCUAAGGAGAAUAAAAAGCCUGAGAUUCCAACCCCUGCAGUAAUCACUAUCGCUGAGAUGAAAAAUAUGCUGCUACAAAAUCGUGCUUCAUAUCGAUCAAUGGUAUGCGUAAAGCUUCUAAUUUUAUGUUUGGAGAUUUAAGUUCUGUAUUCAACUUACUUUUACCUACGUUUAUGUUUCUCUGUUGUUUAUAGAGACCAAGAUUGUCCUCAGCCGUUGACCAAGAGAUGUUAUAUGCUAGAUCACAGAUUGAGAAUGCACCCUUAUUAAAGAAUGAUCAUGAACUUUAUGCUCCUCUUUAUCGGAAUGUUUCCAGGUUCAAAAGGUACCACAAAAUCCACUGAAAUCUUAUCACCAUUCUUUUUUACUCACCUGUUAGUGCAUAAUUCUGUUUCCAUUUGAUUAUUUAUCUUAUAUUUGAUAUACUUUUAUUGCCAAUUAAUGCUUUAAUACCUGCUAUUAACUGGUGUCUAUAAUUGGUGAUAUUUGAUUAUUUCAUCAAAGAUACACAAUCUCCUCUGUUCUUUGAUUUCCAAAUAAUUUGCGAUGCUAAAGUUUAAUGCAGAGUAUAAAUAUCCAUUACAACUUCGAUUUGUAGGACUAAUUAAUUAGUUUAGAUUUUAUAAUGCAAUUUGCAGGAGCUAUGAAUUGAUGGAAGAAACACUCAAAGUUUAUGUUUACAAAGAGGGACAAAGGCCCAUAUUACAUGAGCCAGUGCUGAAGGGAAUAUAUGCUUCAGAGGGAUGGUUCAUGAAGCAGCUAGAAGCUAACAAACAAUUUGUUACUAGAGAUUCAAGAAAAGCUCACCUGUUUUACUUACCUUUUAGUUCUCGGAUGUUAGAAGAAACCUUAUAUGUGCAAAAUUCUCAUAAUCAUAAGGACCUUAUUCAAUAUUUGAGGAACUAUGUCAACAUGAUUUCAGCCAAACAUAAUUUCUGGAAUAGAACUGAAGGAGCAGAUCAUUUCCUCGUUGCUUGCCAUGAUUGGGUAUGUUUUUCUUGUUUGAAUUGUACUAAGUAUACAUUGGUUAGGUGCAUCUGGGAUCUUCAUGAAUUUCAAAAUAUUCCAUUUCAUUACUUGUGUUGAUAAUUUAUCAGUUUAGUUUGCAAUUGCAUUCAAUGACUUAAUUAAACGAGAAAAUUUGUAACUAGGAUAAGUGAAUGAUGCUUACUUCUUGGGUAGUGAGUAAUGACUUUAUUCAAAAGAUGAACAUGUAACUUCAAAUGCUUCGCAUAUUUAAAUGAAAUGAUGUUUAUUUUAGUCUUUCCAGGACUCAUUCCCCUUAACUUGCUUUUUCUAGUAAUUGCCUAUUUGCAGGCCCCAGCUGAAACAAGGAUAAUCAUGGCCAACUGCAUUAGAGCACUCUGCAACUCUGAUGUAAAACAAGGCUUUGUAUUUGGCAAGGAUGUAUCUCUUCCGGAGACAAAUGUGCUCUCACCUCAGAACCCUCUUUGGGCGAUUGGCGGAAAACCUGCUUCACAGAGAUUGAUCCUGGCUUUCUUUGCUGGAAGCAUGCACGGCUAUCUUCGCCCCAUUCUAUUACACCACUGGGAAAAUAAAGAUCCUGACAUGAAAAUAUUUGGUCAAAUGCCCAAGGCUAAGGGUAGGGGCAAGCGGAAG